rfam:Aedes aegypti strain Liverpool supercont1.75 genomic scaffold, whole genome shotgun sequence.
GUGUCGGUAGCUUAGUUGGUAAAGCGCUCGUCUAGCAUACAAGAGUCCUGGGUUCAAAUCCCAGCCGAGCACG